GAGUGAAAUGAAACUGUGGAUCUCAUGAUGGCCUGAUGUGGUUUUCCUCAGUACGAGGAGCAGGAAGGCAGGCAGUGUGACUCACGGAGCUCUGUGAUGUGCCUGUAGCCUGAGCACAAGCUCACUGCAAACAUCUGUCCCUGUGGACUCCCUGAUGUUCUGCGAUCUUCCCAUCAGGAGAACAAGCCGUGGAAAAGAUGAGGUCUUCAUCUUUGUGUAGGUGCAUGGAGGUGAUAAAUGAGUUUCACCUGGAGGAUGAACACAGCGCUGAAGCUGAACUCUUCAGUUUAAACAUCAGUUUAAACACCAACGUGGCCUUCAGCUGGCCAUUUCCCGCUGAGGAUGGCUUUACUCGGAGGCAUUUUGAUCAUUACUUGUCAGAUAAGACCUUGAGUGAACUACAAACUACAAUCACUGGCACUAGAAGACUUUGCAGCCAGUUUUGUCUUGACUCAAUCAUGUUAUCUUCAGUACUGAAGAAAUCCUGAAUUAUGCUAAAUAUAUACUCAAGCUGACUAACCAACCCUUAAAGCAACAUUUGUCACUUUUUGGAAGCUUUAAUUGCUCUGCUGAAGGAAAGUCCUAAUGCAGUGCCAAGGCUGGCAGGUUAAAUGUGGUGCCGACCACUGGUAUGAGGGCAGCUGAUGCUCUGUGCCCCGUGGAUCAGUUGCCUGGCUGGUGGAGCGACUCCUCUCUGCUGUUUUUGCUGGAGACAGCAACCCCAGGCACAAGCAGAGAAUUGUGUGUGUGUCCUUCCCAAGAAGAAAAAAAAUCUCAACCAAGUCUGAAGACAAAGG
rnacentral:lncRNA from 1 species